CAGGAAGAAGGCAUCAUUAUCGAACUUCAUGCCCUUUGGGGGGCAACAAAUGGUCUACCAUAGCAAGAUACCUACCUGGACGAACAGACAAUGAGAUAAAGAACUAUCGGAGAACUCAUUUCAAGAUCAGAAGCCCAUCCACUCAUAUCAAGAAGCGCAAAAUUCUCAACCAACAACAAACUCAUGUUGGAUUUGUUGAGUUUGGAUUUAUGUAGUUACUAUGGAGUUAGGAUUUAUGAUACUUGAUAUUUAACUUAAUUUAAAUUUGUAGGUAUAUUGAAUUUGGAUGUUUAUUACAUUAAGUAUGUAUGAAUUUGGAUGUUUAUUAUAAGUAUAUUUGAAUUUGAAUAUUUUA